UGUGAAAACAUCAUUGAGUGCAGCAUUGAUGAAAUUCGCCUCUUUAUUUUUUUUAGCCGGUUUUCGUCAACACUGCAUCCAAUUAUGUUUUUG
rnacentral:pre_miRNA from 1 species